UCUAAUAUGGCAGAAAUAAUGCAUUAGAUUUAAACUCUAAAUAUUUAUAAUUUAAUUUAUCUUAUUAGAA
rnacentral:tRNA from 1 species